GCGGAUCCGACCCUUUGAGGCACCUUUACUAGUUAAAUUAAAAGACAGGGGCGGGUUAGGCUUGGUUUGGUGCGCUCUUCUCGGCUCUAGCUCGGCUCCAUAUCAAUCACUGAAUUCAAUUUAAAUUAUUGUGCUUGCACCAACCAAAUUCCCUUUUUGGAUACACUCUACUCCAAUAAAUAUCUUUCUCGGACGUGAGAGUGCGCGGAAACGGCUAAUCGAUUUAUCUCGUAGAAAGGGCCCCCUGUCUAUAUUAUUGCAGAAGCAACCAAGCAGGAAUAGAUAUACGUGUAGGUACACAUUUCUGUCUUCUUUUGUCGAGCUAGGUUCUGGGAAAGGCUUUAGCAAAGGUUUGAGCCAGGGUCGGCGGACAGGGGUAGCACUCGGUCCACUUGAUUCGGGGCAGCCCCUUAGCUAGCCCAUUUCAUUCCUGCUUCAGUCCAUCAAUGCAGGAAGGCGGUAAUUUAAGAAGAGAAGCAAGACUUUCUACGCAACUCUCUCCUCUAUCUAAGUCAGAGGAAGUUUAAUUAGGUAGUAGCUUCAGCGCUAAGAAGCUCCAAUCAUGCUACUUCAGCUAUAUGCUUAACACAUUGAAUUCGAUGCAUAUUUCUGCUUAACGCCCUUCUUCUUGCUAAAGUGUAAUAUUAAUAGGGGGGGACUUUCUUUGACAGCCAUUCUGUGUAAGGGAUUGGCCUGAUUCAUUUAGCAUCCAAGAGGCGCUCGAUUUCUUCUUUCACCUUUGCUGUGAUCCCCUUCAUAUUUAUGGCCGUGUUGGCCGCUAAGAAAGUUAAGGAUUCUACAGCGAGCACUGGAUCCCCUCUCCUCUGGCUGUGGGUCAAUUAGGACACUCCAUGUCGAUGCAUUACUGCCAGCUGAAGUCAACAUUGUGAUGGACGGCGGGUUUUCACUUUGGAGGUUAACUGUCCCAGUCAAACCCCUCUCUGGUUGGUUGAAUGUGUUCACAAGCUUCUUGGCUUCUAGUAUACCUACUCUCAUGGAAGAAGGGCGUAGCUACGUCUCGCAAUUCCCUCUCAUCCGGAUCCGGAGGAAUGAAAAAGUCUGACGAACCUUAUCUUGUAUUGCUUCCGAUUCCGAGGUCUGCCUUCCUUGAUUGAGCCCUAAAACUGGCACCGGUGGUUGCAUAUAUAAGAAAAGGGUAGAUCUAAUUUUCACUAAAUCUUUUCUACGUUGAUAUACACAUCAUCGGAAUCGGAAGGAAGUCAACGCAAAAUAAGCGGCUUCAUCCACAUUGAGGGUCGGCUUGGUGAAAGGCGUGAUGCUAUCGUAUAUAAGGAAUCGCCUAGCCAACGCUCUACUUACCAACUGCUGGACUACAUAUGCUGGAAUAUGUAAGACGAUCGGACUACAGAUUACGUGCUAAACGGAUUAGGC